rnacentral:rRNA from 1 species
UACGGAGGAUCCAAGCGUUAUCCGGAUUUAUUGGGUUUAAAGGGUGCGUAGGCGGCUUAUUAAGUCAGGAGUGAAAGACGGUGGCUCAACCAUCGCAGUGCCUUUGAUACUGAUGAGCUUGAAUACACUUGAGGUAGGCGGAAUGUGACAAGUAGCGGUGAAAUGCAUAGAUAUGUCACAGAACACCAAUUGCGAAGGCAGCUUACUAAGGUGCAAUUGACGCUGAGGCACGAAAGCGUGGGGAUCAAACAGG